UACGAAGGGGGCGAGCGUUGUUCGGAAUCACUGGGCGUAAAGGGCGCGUAGGCGGCCCUCGUUUGUCGCGUGUGAAAGCCCCGGGCUCAACCUGGGAGGUGCGCGCGAGACGGCGGGGCUGGAGUUCGGGAGAGGAGAGUGGAAUUCCCAGUGUAGAGGUGAAAUUCGUAGAUAUUGGGAAGAACACCGGUGGCGAAGGCGGCUCUCUGGACCGAGACUGACGCUGAGGCGCGAAAGCGUGGGGAGCAAACAGG
rnacentral:rRNA from 1 species